AGAGUUCAUGGCUCCACUGCCUCUAGCAGAGGUAUUUAAAGCGAUGAGCAUGGAUAAGCUUGAAGAGUUCAGCGGGGUGUUGAACUGCAUCCUGCAUCUGAUUGGCAGGAUUUAAAUUGAUGUUCCAAAGUACUGGCUGUGUGAUCUUAGAUGGACCCUGUGCAGAAGGCUGUGCUCUCCCACACUUUUGGGGGACCCUUGCUCAAGACCAAGCGGCCUGUCAUUUCCUGUAAUGUCUGUCAAAUCCGCUUCAAUUCUCAGAGCCAGGCUGAGGCACACUACAAGGGUAAUCGCCACGCCCGACGAGUCAAAGGCAUUGAGGCCGCCAAGACCAGAGGCAGGGAGCCUGGCGUCCGAGAACCUGGAGACCCAGCCCCCCCAGGCAGCACCCCAACAAAUGGGGAUGGUGUAGCACCCCGUCCAGAGUCUCACUCUGUUGCCCAGGCUAGAGUGCAGUGGCACAAUCUCAGCUCACUGCAAACUCCACCUCCUGGGUUCAAGCGAUUCUCCUGCCUCAGCCUCCUGAGUAGCUGGGAUUAUAG
rnacentral:sRNA from 1 species